CAAAGAAGUUACAGGAUCUUCAGAUGGUCGCGUCACAAGCAUGGGUAAACUAUAACUGCUCAUGUAAAAUCUGCCUAAACGGGGGAACUCUCAACGAGACAAUCCCGUGCUAAACGUAACAGAACUCCCAACACAGAAGAAGGGGGUACUGUUACGAAAUGCCUAACGACUAGCUGUGAUGAAUGUAGCAGCGUAGGGUGUAAGCCUAUGACACCCCAAAUGGUAGACAUGCUUUAAGCAUGAAGAUAUAGUCUGAUCUGCAUGGUGACAUGCAG
rnacentral:ncRNA from 1 species